CAGGAUAUAGCUUAAAUAAAGCAUUUUGCUUACACCAAAAAAACAUCGACCAUGCGAUUGUCCUG
rnacentral:tRNA from 1 species